CUCUUUAAAUCCUUUGUUGAGCAUGGACCCUUUUUUUCAGGUUUUUUGAGUUAAAGGUGAUUGGAUCCUAGGACGAGGUGCUCCUCCCAAUACAUUGCUCAAUAGGUUUAAUGUGCCACUAAGUGAUAUCAAUCGUGCCCAGAGUCACUCCGCUGACGGUCAAGUUCUAAUUAUGUGUAUAUGAAUACUUGUUGUGAAAGGUUGAGAUUUACUUGUCAAAUUAUAUGUAUGUAUAUAAUGGUUGAUGAUGCCAUUAUGAAUACAUGACUGGGUUUUAUGA